UUAGGAAUCUUGCGCAAUGGGCGAAAGCCUGACGCAGCGACGCCGCGUGACUGAUGAAGUCUUUCGAGAUGUAAAGGUCUUUUGUGGGGGACGAAGGAAGUGACGGUACCCCACGAAUAAGCCCCGGCUAACUACGUGCCAGCAGCCGCGGUAAUACGUAGGGGGCGAGCGUUGUCCGAAUUCACUGGGCGUAAAGCGCGCGUAGGCGGGUUUUUAAGUUGUGGGUGAAAUUCCGAGGCUCAACCUCGGAACUGCCUGCAAAACUGGGAGCCUUGAGGUAUGGAGAGGGAAGUGGAAUUCCUGGUGUAGCGGUGAAAUGCGUGGAUAUCAGGAGGAACACCCGUGGCGAAGGCGGCUUCCUGGCCAUAUCCUGACGCUGAGGUGCGAAAGCCAGGGUAGCGAACGG
rnacentral:rRNA from 1 species